CAGUUACCACACCUUUGCUCAGGAGAAGACUGCAACUAGUGUUGCGACCACCACGCGCAAGUAUAAAUAGUUAUGACGCUCCCAUGAUGUCACACUGUCGCGCGACAGGUCGGGAAUAGCGAGUAUACUGAACUGAGUUUGCAUGGUCUACCACUUCGGUGGGAUCCUUUGAUA